AGACAAUAACUUUUUAUCGUGUAAUUUUCAUAUGUACGGUUUGUGGAUUUUGGUUUGGGAUUUACUGAUGUAUAUAGGAAAAUCCUUGGGCUGCGUUCUAUCUUCUGCGUAAUUGUUGUAUGUAUUGCUUGUGGGCUUUUGGCUUGAUUCAUGUGUAGUAUUUGUAGCUUCUGGGAAUUACUAAUGUAGACAGCAGCUUCUGGGAUUUACUAAUGUAAACAGUUCAGUUCAGUUCAUGUAAAUUUUCUGCAUAAGAUUGUAUAUACAUGCACAAAUUAAAGAAAAAUGGAAGCAUGAAGAGCAAAGUUGCAAGAACUUAACUAAAUUUUCAAUUUUCUUGGCUUAAUUUGAUUCAGAAUGGUUGUGGCUUUUGGUUUAUGUAAGG
rnacentral:lncRNA from 1 species